AAGAGAUACUCCAGAUGUCCUGGAAGAGAGAGACACUCCAGAUUUAGGAAUUCACUCGAAAGGCCAGGCCCAGGUUAUAAGUUGAAGAAAUAAGACCAGUUUCCAAAUAAAUGACAAAGAGCUUGGUAUUCCUGCAGGCAUCAGAAUCACCUGGAGGAGGAGAUGCUGCUGCUGGUGGUGGCCCAGAGACCACACAUUGAGAACCACUGCUCUAGAAAACCAUUUGUCUUUGCUGAUGGAGAAACCUGGCUCUAAUAGAAGGGCUUGUAUGUGUCCAGGAAGUCUAGUGAAUUCGACCAUGAAUCCAGACAUGGCCAGUGGCUAAAUCCUGUGGGAAGACACUGUGCUUCUCUCUGACCCAUGAACACUCUGCUAGUCAAGCUCUCUGUCACAAAGACAACUUGAAGAGACAGAGUGGACCUCACAGAAGAUACCAUCGUCACUCUUACCAAUGCAACUGUGGUGAACAGGACCACUAUUAUUCCUUAGAUCAAAAGGACAGCACAUUCAACAGCAUCCUCAUGGCAUGCCAGCAAUUUGCAUAGGAUGUUCACAAUUAAACUUUGAUUAUCUAGUGCUUUGUGGAUGUAUUAUGUAUUACAGAAAUCUAUUUGCAACAUGGAGG
rnacentral:lncRNA from 10 species